AUCACCUCCCCCCUCCUCUGCCCUGCACUCCUCUCUCCCCAGUGCUCUGUGUGACAGCUCCCUCCCCUCCCCCCUCUCCUCCGUUCUCAGUGUAUAAACAUUAGCAAGGAGAGGGGAGAGAAUCAGCCUGUUUGCUGACUCUGCUAUGAUCUGAAUCAGCCGGCAUAUAGGCAGUGCUGCUCAGCCAAUCACUGCAGAACAGAGGGAGGACAGUGUGAAUAUUCAUCAGAUGGGAGGGGCUAAGGCUGAGCUCAGGGAGCUCUCUGCAGCACAGGGGUUUUCUGGGUAAUUGUCACGUCACGGCCCCUGGAUGCUGCUGAUAACAGCCUGAAUAGGGGGUCGAAAGUCAUGAAAACCUGGAACAGCUGAAUUUCCUGUCAGACAGAAGAAUGCAGAUAAAGCUGGUUUCUAAGCAGCAUUGAAUACUACUUGCAAAUCUUAUCAGACAAGUGCAGAUUUUGCCAGCAGGAACACAUAUGAGACAACUACAAAUGCCUUAUCAACAAUAACAGAAACUACAACUACAAAUGCCUUAUCAACAAUAACAGAAACUCUCUUUAGUAACACCCCAAAACCAAAUAAUCAGCAAAACCAGGGAUUAAUAAUUGGUCUUUCUGUUGGAAUUCCAUGUGUUCUAGUGGUGAUAAUUGCAUUAGCCGUAGCCAUUCUCUAUUUCUACAAGAAACAGAAAAAACCUCAGGUACAGAAAGAAGAACCAGAAUGCAGCAGUCCUGGAUCAUUUUAUGACACAACUAUCACUAUCCCAAGACCUCCAAAUAAUUAUUAUGAUGACGUUGCCAUUCCUUGUGGAAAUGAACCUGUGUAUGAGACAGUCCUGCGAACAUUUAGCUCUGUGUAUGAAAACGUUUUACCUAAAACA